CAGCUACUUUAGAAAGACGUGAAAGCACUAGCCUAUGGGCUAAUUUCUGCAACUGGAUUACUUCAAC
rnacentral:tRNA from 1 species